AUCAGAUGAGCGUGCGUGUUCAGUCCACUCACAGUAACCGGUAAUACGUGUUUUUCGUCUCUAUGACAGACUGACGGACUGACUGACUGAUAGCAGCAGCAGUAGUACCUUCACUGUCGGUUCUUCAGGUUUAAGAUAGAGACUCAUAGCGACCGGACGGAGAACAGCAGCUGUUAAACUCCCAUGAACUGACCUGACAGCCUGUCCAGCCAGGCUUAGACUGUGAACGGUGGGACGAGGUGGAAACUUGGGGAGUUUUAGGUUUGUCUCCCCAUGACAACGUGUCACCAUGGUGACUGCGGCUCCAACAGUGAUGCUGAGCGGCGCACCACUGAUGAUGAAGCCAAUAUGGAGGAUGCAGAGCUCUCUGAGCUUGGCCCACUGCUGACAAGUCCAGCCAACUCAGAAGAGUCCAGAAAGGACAAGUUGGCAUGAAAUCAAAAAAUGAAAUCUGCCCAGUUGGUGGAAUGAACUCCCUAACUGCAUCAGAACGGCAGAGUCACUUGCUGUCUUCAAGAAACGACUAAAAACUCAACUAUUUAGUCUCCACUUUCCUUCCUAAUCUGCAAUUGCCUCUCUAGCUCCAUUGCUAACUGUAUUACAGAAAAAAAAUACUAAUGUUCUGCGUCUUUGCACACUUUGCAUACCUGAAACUUGCCUACAGCACUUAUUCAUUGUUGCUCUUAUAGUUGCGUAAAUUGCUUCCUUGUCCUCGUUUGUAAGUCGCUUUAAAUAAAAGCGUCUG